GCCCCUUCUCCACUCACGCUCUGUCUGUCUCUCAACAUAAAUAAAUAAGUAAACAAGCAAACAUUAAAAAACAUUUUUAAUGAUGAAGUUGUAUUAGGUGAUCUCUUGGGGUCUUUCCAGCUCUGAACUUGUUUUAUCCUAUACCCUGCCAGGGGCAUUCCACAUCACAGCACCCUCAGAUUGAGAAUGUUUCCUGGAGGUGAGGGAGAAUGACCAUGGACUUGGAGGGCCCGCAUGGCCCACGAGAGCAGUUUCUGUUCAGCCAACAGCUCCUCAGCUUCCCGAAGAGUAGCCAGGUCCCAAUGAGUCCUUGCAAGGAAUAACCCUUCUAAGCCCCUGUCUCUGUCUUGUUUGGGCAGAAUGAAUAUAUGCAGCCAGUUUUUCUCCUCCGAGUUCAUUUUUACUGUCAAGCAGACCAAGCCUGUGUUUAUUCUUCUAAAGGUCUAUCAGAGAGAUUAAGGAAUUGGAAUUGCUGAAAUGAUUACAGAAAGGGGAGCCAGGGCAGACAGGGAGGAAGAAAACCAUUGAUUCCAGAGGAAGUGCUCACCAUCCGUCCCUUCCGAUCCUUGCCUUGGUGAGCCAACCCUCCCUGUCUUUUUUCAGAUCUUACUUAAAUGUCACUUCCUCAGGGGGGGUCUCCCCUGAUACCUUCCCAGCACCCUGUGUUCUGUUCACAGAACAUAUUUGUGAAGGACGUGGAACUCCUCAGCGGGCUGCCAGUAAACAUUAUUCCCUUCCCUUCCUUCUUUGCUGCUUCUCUGUUGGGUAUGUCCAUCCUUAAACCUCAGUUUCCCAACCUAUUGCCUCUAGGUUUAUCAGAGCUAAUAUCAGAAACAUUUCACAAUUGGCUUCUCACCUGGUUAGAAUGACAGUUCCCACAGUGCUCAGACGUCUUCUGUAUCUUUAGUCUUUUACCAAAAGCACACACCAUACAGGUGCACACACAUGCACACACACAUGCACACACAGAGCUAGCCAGCAGCUAACAAUCCAUCAGUCAGACAACUGUCUAGUGGCACAGCAAUUGAUUCUAAAGUGUAGUUCAUUGUAAAAUUAUUAAGUCAAUCUACAUACUUCACCUUUAUUGAGCCUUCUAGAAGAACUACCCUGCAUAAUACAGUACACUUUGGUGAAUAAAUAUGUUUUUAGUGUAACUAGGAAAAGAGUAAUGGAGUGGAAGCUCCCCAUGUGUCUGUCUGAACCUCCGUGGUACCACCCCCAUCCAAGGCCAACCCUAUGACGUAGCGGGUCCGGCGGUAUCGAAUGUCUCCUGGGCACACACGUGGGUAUGCCAGCGUCUUAAGGAGAAGCUCUUAACUCCAAAAUUGUGCUCUCUGGCUGCUGACCCCCCGUGCCUGCGCUCUGAGCUAGGUCGCUGGUACGGAGGGGGUGUAUUCAGAAAGAGGAAUGGCAGGGAGAAUUGGAAGGAGAUUUAGGAGGUAUUGACUGAAGAAUUAUUCGUUGCAAUUGCACUUGGGGAGACUGUGGCUGACUGCUGGAAGCCCCUUGGCCCGAGUUAUAGGAUUAUAAAGUGGUUAGUCAGCCGUGAUUUAGCAACUUACCUUUGGAAAAUGCUAAAAUCGACUAUACUUAUUCGGCAGAGAUUUAUUAAGUGCCUACUGUAUGCUGGGGAAUCCAAGCAGCCGCGUGGUGGGGCUUGAAGAGCUCUGUUUGUAAGUGCGAGGUAUGGAAGGCCAGAGGAAGGAGCAUUUGGUGCUUCUUCGGGAGCGUGAAGAAAGGUUUACAGAUAUGGCUUCCUUUUAUCGUGUUUUAAAGGAUGGUGAGAAAUGAGAAUGGCUGAGGGAUACGUCUGCAGAGAUAAGGCAAGAGUCUGAGCAAGGGCGUGGUGGCAGCAAUGCGGCUGGAGCAAGGGAGUGGGGUGGAGACAGAUGGAACCAGAGCCAGCAAAGCCAGGUUUGGGUCAGAUGACGUCCCAUCUGCCCCGCAGAGUUGAUGGACUUUUUAGCAUUGGCGUUGGCAUUGGCAGGCCCAGGAUCUUGUCUUGGCCGUCCCACCAACUGACCAUGCGUGUACCCUUGAACAAGUCCUUCCUCCCCUGGCAGUAAACUAGAGGGUCUCCAGAGAUCUCUCGACUCUGAAAUGCUGUUGACUUCAUGGAUUGGACUCCAUUUAUAUGACAAUGGCUGAGUGACUUCUCCUGGCCAACAUGUUUACCACGUGAAGUAGGUGAUUUUCCUCCACACGGCUUUUCAGUGUCUCUGUCCGCCUUGCAUAUCUCUCCCGUGCUCUCCACAGGCCAGGUCCCCACAGUGGGACCGAGCACCCCUGACUCUUGAGCUGUGCGGCUCUCUUACUUCCCCUUGCCCGGAAGUAGCCAUCCUGUCCCCUGUGCCCAGCCUCCUUCCCCAAUGGAUGACGGGCCUCCCCAGUCUCAAAACUCAGUUUGUGCCAAUAUGGUAAUGGAUGAGGAUAGCAUCGAAUUUGGGGACCUUUGAGAGCAUCUAGCUAAAUCUUGUCAUUUCACAGUUGGGGACAUAACUGAGGAGGGAGUUAUGACUCACCUGAGCUCUCCUAGUGAGAGCCAGGAGUGGGGACCGGAGGUCCCCCGGCCCGCAGGCCCACACGUUCCCUGGAUCAGCACUGACGGAGGACUCACUGUGUCAGGGAUGCAACAAUGAAUAAAGUUCCGUCGUCGAGGGGGUCACACUAGAUGGGGAGAUAAACCCAAGUAAAUUAUCGACCUUCAAAGCCGAGCCCUGGGGAAGGAAAGCCGCAGGCGGCUGUGGUGGCCGUCAAGGGGGCAGAUGACAGAAGGCACGGGUCCAGACCCGACUCAAGAUGGCCACCCCUGCCUCGGAGCUUCUGAAACUUCCUCUCUCCUCACUCUUGACCAUACCCGGUAGGGGGCUACGGACCAGGAGGCGUUUGAAUCGAGCCACGGCCUGCCUGGGCGGGCAGAUGUGUGGCUACGCUCCCUGAGUCAUGUUGGGCGAGGACCUUCCCCUUGGCCAGCCCGGGUGACCGAGAGAGUCAUCCCGAGCUGCCUAGGAGGCUUCUCCAAGAACUACCAUAUUUGAGAUAUGCCGCUCGUGUUUCUUCAUCUGCUGUCUACCCAAAGCAAGAGUUGGUCUCAGCCGGGGCUGAUUAAUCAGUAUAUCUGAGGGGGCGGUGGGGGAAUGAGGCACUGUGGUCAAUUAUCCUGGAAGAACCAGGCACCGGUAGCAGGGAUGCGGGAUCAUUGAAACUGGAAAUGACCCAGUUAGGCCUUUAUCGCAGAGCUUGGGUUGGGGGAGGAGCCCGGCAUCUGGGCUUCGCGCUGGGGUCUGGUUUUUAAAGCUGAGUCAGGAGCUUCCAGAUGCACUUGAAUCCUUACCACGUGGGGCAGGGGAUGCAAGAGUGGAAUGAAUAUUGCCAGGAAAAUCGAUGGAAACCGGAGAAGCAUUCGAUAGGGGGUUUUGAGACCCUAGCGGAGGCGGAAAAAACUGCUUCGCAUCGGAGGAGCCAAUUAUCAGACAACCCCUUUGCUGAUGUUUGACAAACAGCAUGACAGUGAACGUGGGUCCCGCGGGGCUCCCAGAACUAAGGUUGAGAUAUUUGUGUAUCAUCCAUUUAAUAGUAAUUGAAAGUUGUUCCCUCUAUCUGCCCUAACACGCAUACCCACACACGCGCACACGUUCAUCUAUGCCUGUGUGUGUCGCCGACUGGGUGCACCAGACUGUGCAUAUGAAAUCAAUCAAAUUGAAAUAGGAAGUAGACCCUGGGGACUCCUCUGGUUUAGAAUCUCUGGAAACGUAAUGGAAAUGGACCCCUGUGACUGCCCAGGCCUUCUGUGCAAUAGAGCUUUGGGAGAAAGGAAGACUUGCCUUGCCCUCUGUCACAAAUUUGUUAACGAUUCAGAAGUGCCAUUAAUUCAGUGAGAGAGGAAUCGGCCUCCCCUUCUGUCCGGUGACCCAGUAGUCCCCGAUCAUGUCCAAUCACGGGUCUGAUCAUAAAAAUCUACCCAUUUACAGGGCGGCCUGGGUGGCUCAGUCGGUUAAGCAUCCAACUCUGGAUAUUGGCUCAGGUCAUGAUGUCACAUGGUUGUGACAUGGAACCCUGAGUCGAUCUGUGCACUGACAGCGGGAAGCCUGCUUGGGAUUCUCUCUUUGCCACUUCCCCCCCUCUCACGCGCAGGCACUUUCUCUCUCUCUCUCUCUCAAAAUAAGUAAAUAUUUUUUAAAAAAUCUACCCACUUCCAUAGCUGGCAAUGGAAUAGUGAUCGCUUCCUGAUUCUGAGUACCACCCCUGUGCAGACACCGUUCUAAGCAUUACGUCCAGGAUCUUGAGUCCUCAGAAUAUCACCACCAGAUAGGUGUUCCAGUUCUACGAAGCAGGAAAGUGAGAACCAGAGAAGUUUGAGAGCCCGGUCUGGGGCCCUUCAGUCAACAUGUGCUGAGCUUGUGGAGCUGAGAAUUUGCCCGUGACCUCCCAGCCCACACCUUGUCCUUAUCACACUGAUCUUUAUUGCUUUUUCCGUGCUGUAUUAAUUUUCUGUUGCUGUGCAACAAAUAACUACAAACCAGCUUAAAAUAACCCCGGUUAUUAGCUCACAGUUCUGUAGGUCACAUGUCCAGCAUGGCGUGGCUGGGCUCUCUGCUCGGGCUGAAAUCGAGAUGGUGGCUGGCCGUUUUCUCAUCCGCAGUUCGGGGGCCUCUUCCAGGCUCAUUUCUGUUGUCAGGACUCAUGUCCUUGUGGCUACAGGACUGAAAUCUCUGUUUUCUUCCCAGCUUUUGGCUGGGGAUUGUUCUCGGCAUUCAGAGGCCACUCUCUGGUCCUCUGUGACAUCCCGAUCUCAUCUCACUAACAGAACCUCCUUCUAUGUCAGACCUUCUCACACUUGGAAUCUCUGUGACUUCCUCGUCUGUGACCAGCCAGAGAAAACUGUUUUUAAAGCGCUCAAGUGCUUAGGUCAGAACCACCUGGAUAAUCUGUGCCUUAUAACAUAACAUAAUCAUGGAAGUAGAAACCAUCAUAGCCCCAGUCCUGACGAGAGAGAGAGAGAGAGAGAGAGAGAGAGUGAGUUGUGGGAUGGGGGGGGGACUCUUGGGGGGCCACCUUCGAAUCCUCCCUACCACGCUGCCAACCUUGUAUGUUGGUUUAUUUCCUUGGCCAUCUGUCCCCGCCAUUACCUGCUGAAAGGAUAGACAAGAGAUACAGCCAUGGAACCAGGAAGAGGGGACUGGAGAGUCUUGGGACAGGAAAUGACAUAUCUCCUGAGAGGUGACACAGCCAGGUUCUCCUUGCUGGCCAGCUGCAGGGCUCUGGGCAGGGAGCACCCCAGUUCCUGCUGGUGGUCCGUAAACCAGUCCCAGAGAGAAGACUGAGAGCCGGAGUACAGAGGGAAACUGAGGCCGCUUGGCACUGCAUUCGCACCACAGAAGCUCCUGGUCCUGAGGAAUUUGGGCCCUGCUGAGAAGGAUGUUUGGGGUUUACUGAAUGUUUGGAAAGCAUAGGGAGUCUGAGAAUAAAAGACAUUAUGGCAAAUCGUGUUAUUAUUAUUAUUACAUUAUAAGUGCUAUUGUAUUACAAGCACCAUUAGGAGUAUCAAGUAAUGUUAUUAUUAAGCAAUCCAGCUUCUCUGUCACCAGCAUCAGGCUCCACUCAGUGUCAGAGGCAUCAGCAGCUCAAUUAAUCACCAUCCGAGGCUCCCCCCAGCCCCGUCUUUGCGGUUCUGACACCUCACGUUCCCAGCCCAGCAGUGAACGUGACAUCUGCCCAACCGGGUGAAGCCUCCGGCAAUAACCCCCAUGGAUUUCAAAACUGGAUUUAUCUUGCCCAGGAGUUAAGAUCUUCUGGAAACCAUUCCAGAUGCUCUCUCUUGCUUGGAGUCCUUCAGUAGUUCCCCAUUCCCCUCAGGAUAAAGUCCAAAGCAGCCUCUUACGAACCUCCCUCUCUGGGCUUUACCCUGCCCUGUUCCCCACCACCCAUAGCCCGCCCCAGCCAGACUGAGAGACGUACAGUUCCCUGAAUUUAUCACACACCCUCGCUCCUGGGGCUCCGGGCUCCUCCUCCCACCUCUCCAUCCGGGUGGCUUCUGCUCUUCUGUCAGGCCUUGUCUUGCAACCAGCCCUCAGCUUAGGAAAAUCCACAGAAAUUGUGAUACAAGGGACCCCCUUGAUCCGUACCCCUAGCACUUGUGCUGACCAACUGUCUGGGACUCGUCUCCGGCUUGCCACCGAGUAGGUAUAUAUAGACCUUGAAGACAGCGACAGGCUUUGUUGUAUAUCUAGUGCCUCAUGGGAUGUGUCAUCUAUAGGAGAUGCUCAUAUCUUUUGUGCAACGAAUGAGGUAAAAAUGGCCAAGAUCUGAAAGUCUCCUGGUAUUACAGUUCCCUCCCCUGUGGGAAACAGUCUGAGAGCCCAGUGGCCUGGGUUCUGGUCCUGCCUUAGUCACAUUCGUCCUGACUGAUCUUGAGCAUGUCAGAGACAGCGAGAGUCCCAGCCGCUGCGGGAGCCCAUCGUUUUGGUCCUGCUGCAGAGAUGCCGAUGGGCAGAGUCAGUAGGAGGCCAGGGCUACGGAUUGACCGCAUCACUCACCUUCCUCAGAAUCUCCUUAUGUCCCUUGUGAAAGGGAUGCCUCAAGUCUCUACGUGCCUGAGGCUAAUGAGUUGGGACCUGGGAAGAGGGAGGUUUAGCGCCUGAUGUGGAGACGGGAGGCCUGAUCAAUGGAUCCUGAGUGCAGGGGACCUCAGAAGUAAGGAAUCGAUGUCUGAUAAAGGAAGCAGACCUGCAGAGAAGCAGUAGCAAUCCCCAGCCUAAGGGGAGAGCACAGUGUCCACUAUUUCUCAUGUCAGUUUGACCCACGGAGGUUUCAGCUUCACAGUUGAUAACCACUUAUUGAGUUCCAGAGGCACAGAACAGAUUUCUAAGUGCAAAACGAAGACGGUCACAGCUGCUGGGGUGGAAAUAGGAAGGUCUUUCCCCCUAGCCUCUGCCUUCCUCUUCCUGGGAGCAAAUGACCAAAGGCUUUGGAAAGGUGAUCCCACCCUGACGGGUGUUUACAGGUGAACGUUAAUUCAUUUAACGAGUGUGUAUUGAGCAUUUGCUAAGCACAGGCAUGGGGUAAGGUACAGGGAACAGAUCAAUGAACGAGACGGAAUAGGGUCUGCAUUUGAAGUCCUGUUUGUGGAUUCGCGUUGGGAAAGAGAAGCAGAGAAGGGACUGGGUCCCUGGGAGGAACAGAUACGCGUGUUUAGGUCACGGGGAGAAAUGAAUAGGAGGCACGUAGGGAGAAGAAUCCAGGAGAUCUGGGGGCUGAGAGGUUUAGGACCAAAUCUCCCAUUAAAUGGAAUUCACUGACAGGUAUGAAUUAGCCUCCCAGCUGCUACUUUCUUCAAAGCCCUAUUCCACAAAAGCGAUCACCCAGCCUGCAGAGAGCAGAGGCUUUGAUGCAGAUUAACAGGCAGACAGAAACCGGGUGUGGGGAGGGAGGGGAUGCACGGGUACCCAGCUCUCUGGACUCCUCAUGGCUGGAGCCAUGAGGGCUUUCCUGAGACAGGCUGAGAGGGCACUUAUGAGACAGGGGUCUGGGACCUGGCCUCUGCCAUGCCUUGGGUCCCCAGAAAAAAUGAAUGGAUAUAGCCAUAAAGAAGAUCCUUGGGAAGUUGAAAGGUCCAUGCUGUCCAUGGGGUAAGGUGAGGGACGAGUGGCCAGGCACUCUCUUCUUAGGUUCAUUCAACCAAAAGUGUUGACUUCUUUCUCUAUGUCGUGCACCGGUGUAAGUGCUGGUGAUAUGAGUGCAUUUGUCUCCAGAGCACCCAGUCCUUGGAAGGCAGCUUUGGACAAACUCACAUGAUAUAAAGUUCUGAUGAUAGGUAUAUCUACAGUGGUGGCCCGGUUGAGGCAAGGGCUCGUCCCGCCUGUCUUGGGGAUGGAGGAGGUCAAGGUGAAGAAUGAACAGAGGAGUAGACAGGGUUCACAGCAUGAAAAGACAUGUGUGUAAACCUAAGUUUGUUUUUGCCCUGUUUGCGGUCUAGAGCAUUGGGAAGUAGAAGGGGACUCGUGAUCAAAUGUAUAGUUUAGGAAGAUCCUUCCAGCAGUAGCCCCGAGAAGGAGCUCGGAGAGAUGUAAAUGGCUUAGUUGGUAGUCCAAGAACAAGCUGGUGAAGAUCUGAAUUGAGGCAGAGGUGGUGGGGAUGGUGGGCAGGCGAAAGAUUCAAGAGAUGUGGAGGAUGUAAAAUGUUCUCCAAUGACCAGGAAUGAAUGCAUGCACAACUGAAUGAGAUGGGGAACGUGAGAGAAUGGAAGAAACAGAGAAGGAGUUCCAAAUUCUAAACUGAACGGCAGGUGGAUGAUGGUCACGUUCACAAGUAGGCAACCAAGGGUGGGAAUCAGAUGGGGGAGGAAGGAUCAGGAGUUCAAGUAUGGGAAUGAUAAAGUCUUAAGGAUAUCUUGCAUUAGUCCAGCUUCAUAAUAACAGCCUAAGAAGUUGGAAUCUUUUGGUGUUCUCAGUACUCCUGGGGUGAGAACAUAAAAGGCUGUCAGUCAUGGGGCACCUGGGUGGCUCAGUCAGUUGAGCGUCUGAUUUC